UACGGAGGGUGCAAGCGUUAUCCGGAUUCACUGGGUUUAAAGGGUGCGUAGGCGGGCAGGUAAGUCCGUGGUGAAAUCUCUGAGCUUAACUCAGAAACUGCCAUGGAUACUAUUUGUCUUGAAUAUUGUGGAGGUAAGCGGAAUAUGUCAUGUAGCGGUGAAAUGCUUAGAUAUGACAUAGAACACCAAUUGCGAAGGCAGCUCACUACACGGACUAUUGACACUGAGGCACGAAAGCGUGGGGAUCAAACAGG
rnacentral:rRNA from 1 species